rnacentral:rRNA from 1 species
GACGUAGGGGGCCAGCGUUGUUCGGAAUUACUGGGUGUAAAGGGUUCGUAGGCGGUGUAGCAAGUCGGGAGUGAAAUCUCUGGGCUUAACCCAGAGGCUGCUUCCGAAACUGCUGUGCUUGAGUGUGGGAGAGGCGCGUGGAAUUGCAGGUGUAGCGGUGAAAUGCGUAGAUAUCAAGUGGAACACCAGUGGCGAAGGCGAGUCUCUGGACAUUUCCUGACGCUGAGGCACGAAAGCCAGGGGAGCAAACGGG